UAAAGGCGGAUAAAAUACGUUCAGUAUUUCAUUUCUCGUUUUAUAACAUUUUAUACAGUUUGUUUCACCGAUUCCGUCUCUCUCUGACACGUUCUCUCUCCUCCUCCUCUCACCUUCCUUCUUCUUUCUCCGAUUCUCUCUUCUGCUGCUCCUCCUUCUUUCCUACUUUCUUCCCCCCUUCCUUCCGUCUUCUUCUUCUCUUCUACUCUUCCCGCACCCACCCUUACAUACAUACACACACCUACAUGCAUGCAUACAUACAUCAGUAUAUAAUCACUCCAUCGCACGCACAAGCUGCACAUACGCACACUGACAAACGAAUACACGCGCUCUUACAUACAUACAUUCAUUCAUUCAUUCAUUCACACACAUGCAAAAUCAGUACACAAAAACACACGCACAUACACACACACACACUCUUUCUCUCUCUCUCACCCACUCACGUUCUUUGAAAAACGAAGUUUCCAUUCUAAACACUGAACAUUUUGGAAGUUGGAUUGAACACUCAAGUUGGAUAUUUUGCAGUUUCCGCAAAAGUUUUCUGUCACCAACACUUAUAUAUAUAUAUAUAUAUAUAUAUAAAAUUAUAUAUAGAGAUUUAUUAGUCGACAACGUAUCCUAUCGAAGCACUUCCUUUGGGAUUUAUUAUUAAACUUUCGUGAAAUACUGUAAGGCGGGUGUCGUCCACUAUUUUCUAAUUUGGAGAAAACAAAAACACAGGUUCAAAUACCCAAUACAUACAAUUUGAUAAUUACACUGUCAUUUUUAUUGAUAAUGAAAAGCAACUACAUGUAAGGAAAAGAAAAGAGAAGCGAUUAUAUAUAUAUAAUAUAUAUAUAUAUAUAUAUAUAUAUAUAUAUAUAUAUGAUGUUGACACGCGAUACACAUGUUUGUUUAUCGUUUUGAAUAGAUUUCUUUGAAAAUGGAGAGGUAGAUGUUUAUUUUAGUAGUUUCAAACAUGGUUCUUCCGCACAGAGCUUAAUCAAACUUUCGAGCGAGUCAGUCAAACCACGAUGUGAAAUAUAUUCGACAUUGGGAAACGAGUCGGAAUCUUCAGAACCUGGAUUACAUAUUUAUAUCUUGAACAUUUGUUGAUUCAAAACUUUAAGAUAAGAAAGAUAAAGACUGCAGCAGCAGCAGCAACAGCAGCAGUAGCAGUGGCAGAUAAAACGAAGCAUUUAUUGGCUUCGCAAAGCUACUAGGAAAAGAGUUUUGAAAAAUAAAGAAAAAAGUAAACGAAGAAAAAAAAACAAAAAAGUUUGAAAGUCUCAGAAAAUUUUGUGAAGCAAGUCUAAACCUACAACUACUAUUACUACUACUACUACUACUAAUAGUACAUACCAGUGCUGGAAGUUCAGAGAUCUAAUUUGAUGAGAUCAUGAGUUAAGAUGCUGCUCCAUAUUAAAUCUGAACAUUGUUCAUGACACUGAACGUAUAGUUUCAAAUAUUGAUACAGUCAUUUAGCAUUAUAUAUAUAUAUAUAUAUAUAUAUAUAUAUAUAUAUAUAUA